rnacentral:rRNA from 1 species
CCUACGGGAGGCAGCAGUGAGGAAUAUUGGUCAAUGGCCGAGAGGCUGAACCAGCCAAGUCGCGUGAGGGAAGACGGCCCUACGGGUUGUAAACCUCUUUUGUCGGGGAGCAAAGCGAGUCACGUGUGACUCAUUGAGAGUACCCGAAGAACAAGCAUCGGCUAACUCCGUGCCAGCAGCCGCGGUAAUCCGGGGGAUGCGAGGGUUAUCCGGAUUUAUGGGGUUUAAAGGGUGCGCAGGGGGGCUGUUAAGUCGGCGGUAAAAGCCCGGGGCUCAACCCCGGCGAGCCGUUGAAACUGGCUGGCUGGAGAGGAGGAGAGGUAGGCGGAAUGCGCAGUGUAGCGGUGAAAUGCUUAGAUAUUGCGCAGAACUCCGAUUGCGAAGGCAGCAUACCGGAGGCGAUCUGACGCUGAGGCACGAAAGCGUGGGUAUCGAACAGGAUUAGAUACCCCAGUAGUC